rnacentral:miRNA from 1 species
UGGCAGUGUAUUGUUAGCUGGUUGG